UUUUUUUUUUUUUUUUUUUCGGACAGAUUUAUGAUUGGCUGUUGGUAACACAUGAAAUAAUUGGAUUCGGAACUUACAAUUGGCUUGCUGAGAUGAGGAUUUAGAUUACGUAUUUUGAUUCUAUGAUGUUAAUUUAUGGACGACUGGAGCUGUUUGUGAAUUAGCUUCUUGGAAGAAGGCGGUGAGGAUGUUGGAUAUGAGACUUUUUGGUGUUUGGUUUUGUUAGAUUUUCUAGUGCAGCCGAUGAUGAUUAUCCGUAGGCUUGUAAUGAUUGCAGAUAUGACAGCAUAGUUGUAUGCUAAAACUCUAAAAGUCUGAGGCUGCACUGUUUAUCAACUGAAGCCUGGCAUGUAGACUUGCUAUGAAACAUAGUCUUCUGUUACUACUUUUGGAUUAGCCUUUUUUUUUUUUUUUUUUUUUUUUCCUCUAUGAAUUGAUCUAGCAUCUUUUUGAAAUUAACGUGAAAGUAAUAGAUGGUUGAUAAGGCAAAUUAUUCAUUGAAAUUGGAUUGUUUAUUGUUUUUUAUAACAUGGAGAAUGCAGAUUACAAAACUUACUUAUUGAUUCUAUGAUGUUAGUUUAGGGUUGAUUGGUGCUGUUUGUGGAUUAACUUUCGCUGAGAAGGUGGUUAGAAUUUUGAAUAGGAAAUACAUGACACUUUUUUUGUGUUUGGUUUUGUUAGGUUUCGUAGUGCAGCCAAUGAUGACUAUUCGUAGGCUUGUAAUGAUUGCAGAGAUGAUAGCAUAGUUGUAUGCUAAAACUCUAAAGUCUGAGGCUGCACUGUUUAUCCACUGACGCCUGGCAUGCAGACUUGCUAUGAAAAUAGUUUUCUGUUACUACUUUCAGAUUAGCCUUUUUUUUCCUUUAUGAAUUGAUCUAGCAUCUUUUUGAAUAAUAGAGGGUUGAUAAGGCAAACUAUUCAUUGAAAAUGGAUUGCUUAUUGUUUUUUAUAACAUGGAGAAUGCAGGUUACAAAACUUACUUAUUUGAUUCUAUGAUGUUAGUUUAUGGAUGACUGGUGCUGUUUGUGGAUUAACUUCUGGGGGAGAAGAUGGUUAGAAUUUUGAUAGGAAAUACAUGACACUUUUUUGUGUUUGGUUUUGUUAGAUUUUCUAGUGCAGCCCAUGAUGACUAUUCGUAGGCUUGUAAUGAUUGCAGAGAUGACAGCAUAGUUGUAUGCUAAAACUCUAACAGUCUGAGGUUGCUCUGUUUAUCUACUGAAGCCUGGCAUGCAGAGUUGCCAUAAAAAUAGUCUUCCGUCGAUACAUUUGGAUUAACCUACUUUUCUUUAUAAAUUGAAAUCUAGCAUCUUGUUUGAACAUAACAAUGAAAACAACGGGUUGGAAAUGGAUUAUUUAUUGUUUUCGGUGACAUGGAGAAUGCACAUAACCAAAUUACCUAUUUGAGUCUAUGAUGUCAAUUUAUAGAAAACUAGGAUCUGUUUGAAGACUCUUCUUCAGGGAAGGUGGUGAGGAUGGUGAAAAUGAAAUGUCAAAAAGAAAUUCAUGAAACUUCUAGGUGUUUGGUUUUGGUAGAUUUUCUAAUGCAGUCUACUCUCUUUACCUACUGAAGCUUGGCGUGGUACCUUCCCAUAAAUAUAAUCUGUUACCACUUUUGGAUUAAUCUUUCUACUUUCUAAAGAAGAUAUUCUCAUGUAUUGUGAUUCAGUAAUGUGUUGUAGUUGUUGUAAUUGCCUCUUGUAUCUUCAUCAUCAAGCCAUGUGUACGGUGUACCCCCAUUUGCUAUUAUGAUAUUUGUGAUGACAAUGAAAUAAUAUUAGGACAGCUCAAUACUGAUCCCAAAGUGUUUUCAAUACUUUUAG